CACCUUCAAGAACCGGUCCACUACGGUCAAGAUGAAGUAACCCCUUUGGAGCCCGAUUGGGAAGUCUUACCACGAGCACAUACCAAAACAAAAUCCAGAAUGUCACGAGGCAUGGAAGACCACCAGAAGUUGCGUCUGGAUGGGCCGAAGCAUGUGAUUCGAAUGAGCUGACGUGAACGGACAAUCGCAACUAAACAUCUCAAAUGAGACAAAAUAUCCAAAAAAAUUUAAAUCAAGAAGGACUUUCGAGACAUGGAAAAAUUGUCGUCUUGUUUUAAGACACAAAAAUGUAAGUAAGAAAGACAUUUUUUGCUGCUUGAAUCAGUGAAUCAAUUCACGUGCAAACAUGCUGAUUCAGUGGAUCGAUUCAGACUUAUAAUAAUGAUACGUUAUUUGACUUCAAUGCAAUAAAAUAUGACAACAAAAACAGCGAAGUCAUGUCACGCUACUAUUUGUUGGAAAACAAAUCGCUUGCUAAUGCAAUUCUGAUGUACCCCAGGAGCUAGAAACACAGUAGGCAUCUAGAGAUGAAUAAAAUAAAGACAAAAAGUAUCUUCGCCGCUCAAUUUAAAAUCAUUACAAUUCAGCUCCCAUUAAACUUCAUUAGCUUCUCGGGGAAAUUAAAAAAUCAUGAAACUAUAAAAUAACCGGCAGUAUCUUGCAGCUAGAAAUCUAGUUUAUGAGAAAACAAAAGAGCGCUAGUGAAUAUAAUGACUCCAUAAUGGCACUUUAAUGACAAUCAAUACCAUUGCCCAACAUGACCCAUUCAUCUCAGAGGAGCGAGAUGGGUCUGAGGAGACUCUUUCAUUAGUUACACGCAGCUAAAAUACAUUACAGCACUUACCUGUCCUUAAUUAAAAAAUUCUCAAGCAUUGCAUCGCAAUGCAUCGUAUGGGUUAAUAAUAAAAGAUAUCGCAGCCCGAUAACACAUUUGCACGGUAAGAGAUGAUUAAAAUGGUCAAAUAAUUGUUUGGAAUAAUUCAUUGUUUGUGCGUGUGUUUGAAAAAGUCUCUUCGAAGGCUGCUUUCAUGUAAUCAAAAAUGCAGUAAAAUAUUAUUUAAACGUAAAACAACCGCUUUCUGUUUGAAUGUAUUUUCGAAUUUAAUUUACUCCUGUGAUCCAAAGCUGAAUUUUCAGCAUCAUUACUCCAGACAGUGUCACCGGGUAGCGCAUUACAGUUUUCACUAAAAUAACGAUCAGCGUAACUGUUUUCAACAUUGAUAAUAACUAACGGUGCAAAAAUCUGCAUAUUAGAAUGCGACACCGAAGGCUGGAGCGAUGACGCUGAAAAUUCAGCUUCGGAUCGCAGGAAUAAAUUGCAUUUUAUCAACGCAUAUUCAAAUAGAAACGUUAUUUGAAAUGGAAAAAAAUGAUUCACGAUAUUUCAAUAUUUUUGGUUAUAAUAGAAAAACUUUUUUAAACGCGCGUUUGACUGACAGCGUAUGGCAAAUGAAACUAAUGAAGGAAAAAAAAACCAUUCAUCCUGCCCAGCGAGACAGCCGACUAAAAUAUUUAGAGACUUGGAGCCGUUUAA